GCGACAUUCUGGGUCCCACGCAGAAAAAGUCAGGCCACUGAAGGGGCCGCUGUGAGGACAGGGGUGAGGAGAAGGGGGCUAACUUUUCGGCCUGCCUUUCUCGACGUUCCUAAUACCCGAGCUUCCGUUUAACAUAUGUGUGGCUCUUCAGCUCAGCCAAGUUCAUUUUUCUGUAUGCAGCUGAAAAUGAUUCUAGAAGCAAAACUCGCUGUCCGUGUCUGAAACGGGAAACUUGCUUUCUGGAGCAAAAGUCUUUUUCUCAGUAGAGCAAAUCCUGCAACUCGUGUGGGCAGAAACCCAGUCCUCAGAGGUACAGGUAGAAACGUGGAGAUCCCAGCAGACCCCUGCAUCGUUCCUAACUGGGAAAUGAGCAGAGUCUGUGGCCGCACACAGUCGGGGAGGCUUGGGUAACUGUGUUCUCUUCUCCAUGUAUGGCCUAGAGCACCUCAUCCACUCGGAUGACUUCAUUCGUUGCUGCUACAGAAAUGUCAGCCUUUUCAAUGUAAUCUAUCUGAACAAUUCACUGGCAUUUCAGAUGGGAAAUGUUUUUUUAAAAACUGAUUUUUUGAAACUUCAUCUCCUAUCCCAAACUCUCAGGCCUCUCUCUUAACCUUCCAAUUUUAAUCAAUGGCAUUUCCAUUCUCCUAGCAGACCACCCACCGUGAUCAUCUGGCUUUGUUCUUACGGAAGCCAGGUUGAAGCUACCCAGUACCCAAGUAGCCCCAUCCAAUGGGAAAUUCCAAAUCAAGGCCUCCAAAGAGAUAAGUCCUGGAAUACAGGAGUCAAAAUGGGCCCCGAAACAGACAAUUCACAAUUAAAUUCCCCAGAAGAGCAGGAAGUUUGCCCUCGAGGUGCAGGCUUGUAGAGAUUACUCAAAUGGACUAAACUGUACAAAAGGCAGCCAUGGACAAGUUACAGGUCCAUUGUAUCAGUAUCCGUCCUUGACUCUGUAUCCAAAGCAGAGUCUUCUAUGUGGGCAGGGUAAAAAGAGGCUUCCCCAGAAUCAAACAGUCCUGAUCACAAUAUCUCCCUGCCCUCAGAUUUGCUAAUCAGAAAACCACCCCUACACAGUUGCAAAGACACCUCCCCCAAGGCCUUCGCCAGCCCUGAGGGCACCUCCACAGUGAAACAUGUCCUUUUGGCUUUCCAGCUUGAUUCCCAAAAGCCAGUCAAACCAGGGUGGAAGCCUCCACUGUGUUCUACAUCCCGUGCAGUGAGUGGAGCUUUGUGAAGUUGCCUUAGAUUGCUAAGGGCAGAACUGUGCCCAGACAGAAAUAGGCAAACCGAAUUUCUCUUGUGUUCCCUUACUCUUUUUCAUGACUGCUCUCAUUCUGCUCUCUUCUCCACUAGCCCGGGUGUCUGGGACGCUUGCGUCGUUUCUAGGCUCUCCCAAAAGAGUCUCGUAUCCAGCCCUUCCCUCCCUGAGAAUCGCCCCAGUCUAUUUGUCCUUCUCCCCUCCCCUAGUUCUGUUAAAAAUGACCUCAUUUGUGUCUCAUUCUGAUCAGGUCUUGGGCUCUUCUUUACAAAGUGGCAAUCCUAGUCUGUCAACUGACUCGUGUUCAUGGGUUUAUACCCUCUUCCCAGCCAGGUCACCCCUGAGCUUAAACAUGGCCUCAUGAAAACCAGGUCCCCAUGAUCACCCUAAGGUAACCUACAAAGCUCUAGCCCUGGAAGGCAGGAAGAUGACUGCUGGGAGACAUAUUUUAAGAGUGACACGUCAGAGGCAGCUCUCGACUUUUUAAAAAAGUGCCAUGUUCUCUAUUGUUACACUCUAUGAUUACUGUACUAAGGGCCCAUCCUGACUUCUCUGGAAUUUUCUGCAAAUAUGUAGUUCUGGUGUAACUUCAGCAGGGGUAAAAAUUCAAUGGUACAUAACUGACAAUUUAUCAAAUUAAGAAAUAGAACAUGCAAGUUUUUCUUAUAAGAAUUUUGUAACGUAAAUGGUCAUUGUGCUAAUUCAGACCUCAACUUCUCUGCUGCUAUAAAGUCUCCAACAGAAAAAGCCAGUAAUGGUCAUAAAACUGAUCAUGUUUUUUGAUUCAGGAAAUCCUUUUUUGAACAAUAACAUACAAAGACGAAAAGUAAACAAAGCUGCCUGUUUGAAUAUAAACACAUAUGCAGACAAAAAAAACAAAUAAAUGGGUUAGAGAAACAACAACAAAAAAAUUACAUCCAUGGAGGUAAAGGGAGGAUUGUUGCGUUAAUUGUAACUCAAACCUCUUAACACUUGAGGAAUGAUUAAGCAAGCUAGGGUGUCGUUACUGGGUAUAUUUGAUGGUGUACAAUAGUAUAUGUUACUUAGAUAUUAAAUGAAAUGUGUAUACUAUGUAGAUUUAUAGAGACGUUUAUAGUAAAUAAGGUUCUGUGAAAAUAAUAUGACUCAAAAUGUUAAAUAGGAUAAGCAAUAUAAAUGUGUCACAACGCCCUGGAGUGCAGGCUGAUCCCUGGAGACCAGUACUGAGUCAUCUGGUCUGCUCAAGGGCCAAUUAAGGAAAGAUAAAAAUGUUUACAAACCUUGUUUUUCAUAAUUUAUCUUUUUUAUGGAACUAUAGUGUCUGCAAUAUCAGUUAAACAGCCUUUUAGUAUUUCUCAUUUAUGUAACAACUCCUUCCUUCCUUCUUUCCUUCCUUCUUUCCUUCUCUUUCUGAAACUUUCUAAAUAGCAUGUGCUACCUAACCUUAUUUGUAACCCACGCCCUUUAAACAAAUUUUGAGGAGAUGAAUCCUGGACAUACCAGGGUAGGAAAGGGAUUUGAGGGAUUUAGAAAAACAGAGGUGAGUGGACCCCACAAUUCACCCACAGACUUGAAAAAGGAGACAAUAGCUGGAGGGGGGAGGCUGGAAACUGAAGGAGCCUGUCUGUGGGAAAGGGAGCGUCCCUGAGAACCCCAAGGAAGGUGGCUGCUCGGUGGAGGGGCUAUUAGGUAAGCGGAUAGAAACUGCACAGCCUCCUUUGCAAUUCCAGAUGUCUUCAUGUGGAAAGUGUGGUGACAUCUUAGAUGGGAGAUGGGGAGGGUGGGGGCUCGCCUCCUCAUCGUCUCCAUCGCCUCAAAUGGGAGUGCUCAGAAGUGUUCCAGAACAAGUAGACAGCUCUCACUGAAGACAGGGAAGGCUCUGUUGGGAUCUCACAAAGGAUUGGUGUCAGGUGAUAAUGUUUAAAUUUUCCAGAUUCCUGAGAGCCAGCACUGGGCAGCUUAAGCCAUCCUCAGCAUCCAACUGGCCUCUUUACUGACACUCCUGCCUAGCAACCUCCACUGUCCCUUGGAUCUCUGGCUGAGCUUAAAGUGUUGGGUUAAAAGAAAAUAAGCAAUAAGAUAUAUAUUAACACCUCCCAUGGAAGGUAAACGGAUUGAUUCAGCUGUGACCACCUCCCGAAAGCCCUAAGUAACAUGUAAUUCAGUCAGUCCUGUUCAUUUUCAUUGCUUACUUGUAAAACUGAGAAAUUAAACUACAAUGAUGCAGAUCAAAGUCACCACAACCCCAGUUUCGUUUCAUAGACUGUCUUGGGUUAUUUCUUCUGGCGAGUCAGAAGUUUUCCUGCAAUUGCUCAGAGUAAUACACGGAGUUUAGGAUUUCUUUUUCUUAAAAGGAGUUGUGUUUCACUUUUUUGUACCUUGAUAUUAUUUGCUCUCAAACUAAAAAUUGGUUUAAUUUUAGAUGUUGGCAACGAUUCUCAUAUCACAGGGAUUUCUAUGUUUAGCUGUUUACCCACCCAUUCGGCAAAUAGCAGACACUGACUGUGCUAGACACUGGAAGAAUGACCAAUGGCGGAAGAAGACCCACGUUGACGUCGAGCUAUAAAGGAAAGAGACAAACAUAUAAACAGGAGACUAUUGUAUGAUGUGAAAUGUCUGAGGCUUGGUGUAGUUGCUUCAUUUUUGUAGAUCUUCUUAUUCAAGAAAUGGGUAUAAAUUCCAGAGAUGCCAAACCUUGAAUUCAACUGAAAUCAACCCCCAAGUAAAGGAGAAGAUGAUCAGGAUGGUUGGAGUUUGAACCUAGUCAACUGGUAGGCUGGCCUUCUCUGCCUCUCCUGUCUCCACUGCAGGACCUGACCAGGACACCACUCCUGAAAUUUACCUACCACAGUUGUAGUCACAUGCAAACGAAGAGGCUGGAUCUGGGUAUCUCCUGCAGUGCAUGUGGACUGUGCAGAGAGAAGGAGUCCCCUGGAGUGGGACACUUAGAGCAGAGGGCACCCAGAACCAGGAACCAUGAGAGAGGAGUCUCAAAAUAGGACACAAAGGGAGUGCUUCACCACGUCACAGUGCACAUUGCAGCUAAGCCUCCGGCUCUGCUGGGGUCAGGCCAACAUGGAAAGAACCCAGGGACACCCACUCUUCCUGGGCACAGCUGAGAAGAGAUUAGGAGCCAGAGAAAGGCCUCCAGGAAACCCAGGGCAGACCAGUAAGAAUCCAGAAGCCCAGUCCAAACCGAGGCAGAAAGAGGACUGAUGUGUCUAACACCUGGCCUUCGCUACCUCCGAAGAGAGACAGACCAAGAACAAACGAACCAAGAAGGUGAAAUGGUUAAAUGUGGCGCCUAAGCCUUUCUUUUCCAGGAACUGACAUAACUUCUGUCUGUCUGCCUACACGGAGUUGUGGUUAGGAACACAUUUCUGGGGGAUUGGUUUGGUUUCAAUGUUUUCCAGCAUCUGGUAAAAACAGAAUUAUGAAAGUUAAGUAUUCAAAGAUUGUUGUUUGGGUUUUGAAACAGAAACAUUUUGAAAUACUGAUAUGUUUUGCUUUCAUAGUAUUAUUUUACUUAAAGAGAUACGCUUGAAGUAAAACCAAAUUCUCAGCUACUAACAGAAACACUUUAGUCUUCCUUGUUGCCCAAAAGCCAGUUUGAGAUUCGGCAAUUUUAGGAGAGAAGGAGGGAGAGAGAGAGGAAGGACACACCACAGAUAAAAAGGAAGUUUGAGACAGUUGUGCCUGUUCUUAUUGAAUGUUUUAGGUGAUUCCUAUAUCCCUUUUCUUCCUUCAGCUGGGGCGAUCUUUCCAGAAAAUGCAGCCCACCAGGAAAGGUUAGAAUUUAUCCAGAGCAGCUAUUUGCACUUGGUUUUUGACAUCUUGAAGUAAUGUGUUUGUCUGAGUGCUUUUCUUAUUUAUACAUAAAUAAUCUUACUAUCUAUGUUUUAUGCUUUCUUACUAGCAUGUAGAUCUAAUGUAGUUCCAUUUACUGGAUUCUGAGAGAAAUAUAGACAUUGAAAGGGGGACUCUAGACUCCUUCCUCUGGCCAAAAUGCAGUAACAGGGGCCAGAUUUGUGUUCUUGCCUGAAACAGUAACAACAACAAAAGAUGAGACUUAAAAAAAAAGUUUCAAAACAUGGAUUUAGGCAACGAAGGACAAUGAGUGAUCCCUAAGCUACUGCCCCAUCUUGUGGCCUUGAGACAGUUUCCAGGCUGUGGUGCAGAGUGGAGAACAGAGGCAAAGCCUGGUAGAUCCCUGACUUGAGGAGACAGAGGUGAGAGUCAGGAGAUCAAGGCAGCUAGAGUUCAUGGGAAUCAGCACCAGAGAAGAGAGAGCUCCAUAAAGAGAGGACUUGGGAGAUCUGCAGAGGAUCCUUGAAUAUUCAUCAGAGGACCUACUGACCAGCACAUUCAUGCGCAGGCGUCAUCAGAGACAAGGGAGAGAGCCACUUGAAAGGAUUGGAGGUUUACAGUGCUCACUCAGAGCAAGGAAUCGUGCUUAUUCCCACCAGCCAGACCAGAAAACCUCAUAGUUCAUUGACAUUAGUAGUGUUAAACUAAGUUAAGCCUAAAGCUACCUCCUUACAUAUUUUAAGUUCAGGCUAAAUGUUUUUCCAUACACAGAGAACUGUAGCCUAACUGGACAUGUGACCAGAUUGUAAGGCACUCCUGUAACAAGUAGUCAAGCCUCAGCCAAUUAUAGCAGCCGAAUUUUGGCCACUCAAAGGCAGCCAACUGUUGAAACCAUGUUUAACUAAGUGCCAAACUGUCGCCAGCCAGCUGUUUCUGUGCUUCACCUCCAUUUUCUGUAAGUCACUGCCCUUUUACUGUCCAUAAAUGUUAUCCGGCCACAUGGUGGCCCUGGAGUUGCGCUGCUGGUUCUGGGGGAUGCCCAAUUCAUGAAUCAUUCUUUGCUCAAUUAAACUCUGCUCAAUUUAAUUUGCCUAAAGUUUUCCUUUUAACGGGAUGGUACAUAGUACAAGGGAAUAAUUAGACUAAAUGCUAAUCAGUCCUGCCGAACUAAUUCAAAAAGAAAG
rnacentral:lncRNA from 10 species